rnacentral:rRNA from 1 species
UGCGAAUGGCUCAUUAAAUCAGUUAUCGUUCAUUUGAUAGUACCUUACUACUUGGAUAACCGUGGUAAUUCUAGAGCUAAUACAUGCUAAAAACCCCGACUUCGGGAGGGGUGUAUUUAUUAGAUAAAAAACCAAUGCCCUUCGGGGCUCUUUGGUGAUUCAUGAUAACUUAACGGAUCGCAUGGCCUUGCGCCGGCGACGGUUCAUUCAAAUUUCUGCCCUAUCAACUUUCGAUGGUAAGGUAUUGGCUUACCAUGGUUUCAACGGGUAACGGGGGAUUAGGGUUCGACUCCGGAGAGGGAGCCUGAGAAACGGCUACCACAUCCAAGGAAGGCAGCAGGCGCGCAAAUUACCCAAUCCCGACACGGGGAGGUAGUGACAAUAAAUACUGAUACAGGGCUCUUUUGGGUCUUGUAAUUGGAAUGAGUACAAUUUAAAUCCCUUAACGAGGAACAAUUGGAGGGCAAGUCUGGUGCCAGCAGCCGCGGUAAUUCCAGCUCCAAUAGCGUAUAUUAAAGUUGUUGCAGUUAAAAAGCUCGUAGUUGAACCUUGGGCCUGGCUGGCCGGUCCGCCUCACCGCGUGCACUGGUUCGGCCGGGCCUUUCCUUCUGGAGAGCCCCAUGCCCUUCACUGGGUGUGCGGGGGAACCAGGACUUUUACUUUGAAAAAAUUAGAGUGUUCAAAGCAGGCCUUUGCUCGAAUACAUUAGCAUGGAAUAAUAGAAUAGGACGUGCGGUCCUAUUUUGUUGGUUUCUAGGACCGCCGUAAUGAUUAAUAGGGAUAGUCGGGGGCAUCCGUAUUCAAUUGUCAGAGGUGAAAUUCUUGGAUUUAUUGAAGACGAACUACUGCGAAAGCAUUUGCCAAGGAUGUUUUCAUUAAUCAGUGAACGAAAGUUAGGGGAUCGAAGACGAUCAGAUACC